rnacentral:rRNA from 2 species
GGGGAGUGGCAGACGGGUGAGUAACGCGUGGGAAUCUACCCAAUUCUUCGGAACAACACAUGGAAACGUGUGCUAAUACCGAAUGAGCCCUUCGGGGGAAAGAUUUAUCGGAAUUGGAUGAGCCCGCGUUGGAUUAGCUAGUUGGUGGGGUAAAGGCCUACCAAGGCGACGAUCCAUAGCUGGUCUGAGAGGAUGAUCAGCCACACUGGGACUGAGACACGGCCCAGACUCCUACGGGAGGCAGCAGUGGGGAAUAUUGGACAAUGGGCGCAAGCCUGAUCCAGCCAUGCCGCGUGAGUGAUGAAGGUCUUAGGAUUGUAAAGCUCUUUCACCGGUGAAGAUAAUGACGGUAACCGGAGAAGAAGCCCCGGCUAACUUCGUGCCAGCAGCCGCGGUAAUACGAAGGGGGCUAGCGUUGUUCGGAUUUACUGGGCGUAAAGCGCACGUAGGCGGACUUUUAAGUCAGGGGUGAAAUCCCGGGGCUCAACCCCGGAACUGCCUUUGAUACUGGAAGUCUUGAGUUCGAGAGAGGUGAGUGGAAUUGCGAGUGUAGAGGUGAAAUUCGUAGAU